CUUUGCCAGUUCUUCCGAGGCCGGCCCUACAAGCCGCGCCUUGCUAGUCCGCUGGGAUCCAGGCUGCCGGAGCAGCUCAGCCGACGGAGAUGGGCUGGGCUGGGCUGGGAACGGCGGCCCUGGGGACAGCGGCUGAGUGGGCGUCCAGGGUGCAACCACGUACCUGAAGGUUAAGAUUGAGAAACAGGUGGUGACGCCCCCACUUUCUUCCCACAUCCCACCAGGAAACAGAACGCAGAAUCUCCUGGUAUUUUGAGGUGGCGCGCGCAUCGCAGCAGCUGUGCCCUGAGCUCUGGGACCUCGGAUCACCAGGUCUGACAGGGCCCAGAAGGGAUUUCUGACAACGGAGGUGCUCGGCCUGCCUGGGAUUAGAGCUUCAACGAGGAGCUCCCAGACACAGGGGUGGAUCCAUACACAGGGGUGGCCAUCCCACCAGGAUGGAGCAGAAACGAAAAUGGAGAAGUAACCUCUGACACUACAGAAAUACAUAGGAUUGUUAAGAAAAUACUAUGAACAACU